rnacentral:rRNA from 1 species
ACGCUCGACACCUACGGAGGCAGCAGUGGGGAAUAUUGCACAAUGGGGGAAACCCUGAUGCAGCAACGCCGCGUGAAGGAAGACGGUUUUCGGAUUGUAAACUUCUGUUCUUAGUGAAGAUAGUGACGGUAGCUAAGGAGCAAGCCACGGCUAACUACGUGGCAGCAGCCGCGGUAAUCUGAGCGGGCUGGCAAGGC